rnacentral:rRNA from 1 species
UACGUAGGGUGCGAGCGUUGUCCGGAAUUAUUGGGCGUAAAGAGCUCGUAGGCGGCUUGUCGCGUCGGAUGUGAAAGCCCGGGGCUUAACCCCGGGUCUGCAUUCGAUACGGGCAGGCUAGAGUGUGGUAGGGGAGAUCGGAAUUCCUGGUGUAGCGGUGAAAUGCGUUGAGAUCCACAGGAACUCCGGUGGCGAAGGCGGCACGCUGGACCCUUUCUGACGCUGAGGCGCGAAAGCCAGGGGAGCGAACGGG